GGAGAGGUGCCGGAGUGGCCGAACGGGCCGGUCUCGAAAACCGGUGUAUCCUCACGGAUACCGAGGGUUCGAAUCCCUCCCUCUCCGC
rnacentral:tRNA from 1 species